CCUACGGGAGGCAGCAGUGAGGAAUAUUGGUCAAUGGACGGAAGUCUGAACCAGCCAAGCCGCGUGCAGGAAGACGGCUCUAUGAGUUGUAAACUGCUUUUGUACAAGGGUAAACCUGAAUACGUGUAUUCAGAUGAAAGUACUGUACGAAUAAGGAUCGGCUAACUCCGUGACAGCAGACGCGGUAAUACGGAGGGUCCAAGCGUUAUCCGGAUUUAUUGGGUUUAAAGGGUGCGUAGGCGGAUUCAUAAGUUAGAGGGUAAAUGUCCGAGCUUAACUCGGGAACUGCCUUUCAUACUGGUGAUCUAGAGAGUAGAUGCGGUACGCGGAAUGGAUGGUGUAGCGGUGAAAUGCUUAGAUAUCAUACAGAACACCGAUUGCGAAGGCAGCUUACCAAUCUAUAUCUGACGUUGAGGCACGAAAGCGUGGGGAGCAAACAGGAUUAGAUACCCUUGUAGUC
rnacentral:rRNA from 1 species